UCUGAAUAUGGGGGGACCAUCCUCCAAGGCUAAAUACUCCUGACUGACCGAUAGUGAACCAGUACCGUGAGGGAAAGGCGAAAAGAACCCCGGCGAGGGGAGUGAAAAAGAACCUGAAACCGUGUACGUACAAGCAGUGGGAGCACGCUUCGGCGUGUGACUGCGUACCUUUUGUAUAAUGGGUCAGCGACUUAUAUUCUGUAGCAAGGUUAACCGAAUAGGGGAGCCGAAGGGAAACCGAGUCUUAACUGGGCGUUAAGUUGCAGGGUAUAGACCCGAAACCCGGUGAUCUAGCCAUGGGCAGGUUGAAGGUUGGGUAACACUAACUGGAGGACCGAACCGACUAAUGUUGAAAAAUUAGCGGAUGACUUGUGGCUGGGGGUGAAAGGCCAAUCAAACCGGGAGAUAGCUGGUUCUCCCCGAAAGCUAUUUAGGUAGCGCCUCGUGAAUUCAUCUCCGGGGGUAGAGCACUGUUUCGGCAAGGGGGUCAUCCCGACUUACCAACCCGAUGCAAACUGCGAAUACCGGAGAAUGUUAUCACGGGAGACACACGGCGGGUGCUAACGUCCGUCGUGAAGAGGGAAACAACCCAGACCGCCAGCUAAGGUCCCAAAGUCAUGGUUAAGUGGGAAACGAUGUGGGAAGGCCCAGACAGCCAGGAUGUUGGCUUAGAAGCAGCCAUCAUUUAAAGAAAGCGUAAUAGCUCACUGGUCGAGUCGGCCUGCGCGGAAGAUGUAACGGGGCUAAACCAUGCACCGAAGCUGCGGCAGCGACGCUUAUGCGUUGUUGGGUAGGGGAGCGUUCUGUAAGCCUGUGAAGGUGUGCUGUGAGGCAUGCUGGAGGUAUCAGAAGUGCGAAUGCUGACAUAAGUAACGAUAAAGCGGGUGAAAAGCCCGCUCGCCGGAAGACCAAGGGUUCCUGUCCAACGUUAAUCGGGGCAGGGUGAGUCGACCCCUAAGGCGAGGCCGAAAGGCGUAGUCGAUGGGAAACAGGUUAAUAUUCCUGUACUUGGUGUUACUGCGAAGGGGGGACGGAGAAGGCUAUGUUGGCCGGGCGACGGUUGUCCCGGUUUAAGCGUGUAGGCUGGUUUUCCAGGCAAAUCCGGAAAAUCAAGGCUGAGGCGUGAUGACGAGGCACUACGGUGCUGAAGCAACAAAUGCCCUGCUUCCAGGAAAAGCCUCUAAGCAUCAGGUAACAUCAAAUCGUACCCCAAACCGACACAGGUGGUCAGGUAGAGAAUACCAAGGCGCUUGAGAGAACUCGGGUGAAGGAACUAGGCAAAAUGGUGCCGUAACUUCGGGAGAAGGCACGCUGAUAUGUAGGUGAAGCGACUUGCUCGUGGAGCUGAAAUCAGUCGAAGAUACCAGCUGGCUGCAACUGUUUAUUAAAAACACAGCACUGUGCAAACACGAAAGUGGACGUAUACGGUGUGACGCCUGCCCGGUGC
rnacentral:rRNA from 1 species